GUCGAGAAUCUUCCGCAAUGCGCGAAAGCGUGACGGAGCGACACCGCGUGAUGGAUGAAGUCCUUCGGGGCGUAAACAUCUUUUAUAAAGGAGGAAAUUUUUGACGUUACUUUAUGAAUAAGGGGCUCCCAAUCUCGUGCCAGCAGGAGCGGUAAUACGAGAGCCUCAAGCGUUAUCCGGAAUCAUUGGGCGUAAAGGGUGCGUAGGUGGUUUGAUUAGUCUCCCGUUAAAACUUCGAGCUUAACUCGAAAAGAGCGGGGGAAACGGUCAAACUAGAGUAUAGGAGAGGUGUGUGGAACUCAUGGUGUAGGGGUGAAAUCCGUUGAUAUCAUGGGGAACACCAAAAGCGAAGGCAGCACACUGGCACAUCACUGACACUGAGGCACGAAACCUAAGGUAGCGAAUGGGAUUAGAUACCCGGGUAGUCC
rnacentral:rRNA from 1 species